AUGGCCGCCUCCUCCAGCGCCGCACCAGCCAACCUCUCUGGUCAGGUCACCGAGAAGCUGACACGCACCAACUACAUCCUCUGGCGGACUCAAGUCACGCCGCAGCUCCGUGGUGCUGGCUUCUACGGGUAUGUCGACGGCUCCAUGCCAGAGCCGGCCCGACCCGUCGUCACCAAGGACAAGGAAGGGAAGGAGGAGACUUCCCUGAACCCCCUUCAUCCGAUCUGGAUCCGCGAAGAGCAGCAGGUACUUGGCUACCUUCUGAAUAAUCUCUCCAAGGAGGUACUUGUGCAGGUCACCACGAUCGAUCAUGCGCAAGAUCUCUGGACAGCACUGGCGAACAUGUUUUCGUCCCAGUCCCUGUCACGUGUCAACAACAUCCGUGUCGCCCUCGCCAAUGCGCAGAAGGGGACGCAACCCGUCGCAAGCUUCUUCGGGCACAUGCGCUCACUCUCAGAUGAGCUCGAGACGGCUGGCAAGCCGCUCGGAGACGGUGAACUCGUCUCCUACAUCAUCGCCGCCCUCGACAUGGAGUACCAGCCUCUCGUCUCCGCGCUCGAUGCCCGCACCACGCCUGUCUCGCUCGAUGAUCUGUUUGCUAUGAUCAGCAAUUUUGAUCAGCGGGUUGCCCUCUACCAAGGGGGCCACUCCGGCGGCGGCUUCAAGUCCUCCGCGAACGCGGCCAUGCGCGGCCGUGGUGACGGCUCACGUCAUCGAGGGCGCGGCAGGGGCAGGCACAACAGCGGCCCCAACAACAGCAGCAGCAACUCCCGUGGCAACAACGGCGGGGGCGGUCGGCCCUCCUCCAACAACAACCAGGGCCGCCGCAACAACUCCAACAACAGAUCGCGCCCUGAUGCCGUUCGGUGUCAAAUCUGUGGUAAACCUGGCCACUCGGCCAAGGAUUGCUGGUACAGGUUUGACGAUGAUGAUGACUCCUCUCAGGAUGAGAAGGUAGCUGAUGCGGCCGAUGGAUCGUAUGGCGUGGACACCAACUGGUACAUGGACAGUGGUGCCACGAACCACAUCACCGGCGAACUCGAGAAGGUGACCAUGCGGGAGAAGUAUCGCGUCCAAGAUCACAUCCACACCGCGAAUGGGGAAGGUAUGAAGAUCCGUCAUGUUGGUCACGCAAUUAUUAAAACCCCUCAUCGUCCAAUUCAUCUUCGAAAUUUUUUGCAUGUCCCUAGUGCAUCUAAAAAUCUUCUCUCCGUUCGCCGCAUUGCUAUUGAUAAUCACGUCUUCCUCGAGUUUCACCCUUUCUUCUUUUUGAUCAAGGAUCAGGUAACGAGGAAGGUACUAUAUCGAGGUAGAUGCGUUCGCGGGCUCUACCCCUUGAUUCCGGAGCUUCGAAGAAGAUUCAAUAAACAAGCCUUUAGUGCCACCAAGCUAUCCUCUACACGGUGGCAUGAUCGUUUAGGACAUGCAGCUUUUUCUUUAGUUGAACGAGUGCUUAGGAAAGAAACUCCCAUUUGUUGGAGAGCGUGA
rnacentral:rRNA from 1 species